AGCUUAUCAAGAGAAGCGGAGGGAACUGGCCCUACGAAGCUCAGCAACCUGCUUAUAAGAAGCAAGGUGCUAAGUCCAGCAAAAUGGCAUCCAUUUUGAAAGAUAAGGU
rnacentral:ncRNA from 18 species